rfam:Candidatus Burkholderia crenata strain TZHbot9 BCREchr_ctg507, whole genome shotgun sequence.
GUCGUCGCGAGGCGGGGUCUGAAGGAAGCAUGUAGCGAAGCCGCGACCUGACGAACAGAAAUCGGAUGUGAGGCCUACCCAGGCGGACGAGCGAGCAAUGGAUCGCGAAGUCCAUAACCAUC